rnacentral:rRNA from 1 species
UACGUAGGGCGCAAGCGUUGUCCGGAAUUAUUGGGCGUAAAGAGCUCGUAGGCGGUCUGUCGCGUCUGCCGUGAAAACCCGAGGCUUAACCUCGUGGCUUGCGGUGGAUACGGGCAGACUAGAGGUAGGUAGGGGAGAAUGGAAUUCCCGGUGUAGCGGUGAAAUGCGCAGAUAUCAGGAGGAACACCGGUGGCGAAGGCGGGUCUCUGGGCCGAUACUGACGCUGAGGAGCGAAAGCGUGGGGAGCGAACAGG